rnacentral:rRNA from 1 species
UGGGGAAUUUUCCGCAAUGGGCGAAAGCCUGACGGAGCAAGACCGCGUGGGGGAAGAAGGCUCUUGGGUUGUAAACCCCUUUUCUCUGGGAAGAACACAAUGACGGUACCAGAGGAAUCAGCAUCGGCUAACUCCGUGCCAGCAGCCGCGGUAAGACGGAGGAUGCAAGCGUUAUCCGGAAUGAUUGGGCGUAAAGCGUCCGCAGGUGGCAGUUCAAGUCUGCUGUCAAAGACCGGGGCUUAACCUCGGAAAGGCAGUGGAAACUGAACAGCUAGAGUAUGGUAGGGGCAAAGGGAAUUCCUGGUGUAGCGGUGAAAUGUGUAGAGAUCAGGAAGAACAUCGGUGGCGAAGGCGCUUUGCUGGACCAUAACUGACACUCAGGGACGAAAGCUAGGGGAGCGAAUGGGAUUAGAUACCCCAGUAGUC